rnacentral:rRNA from 1 species
UACGGAGGGGGCUAGCGUUGUUCGGAAUUACUGGGCGUAAAGCGCGCGUAGGCGGCUUGUAAGUUAGAGGUGAAAGCCCGGAGCUCAACUCCGGAACUGCCUUUAAGACUGCAUCGCUAGAAUUGUGGAGAGGUGAGUGGAAUUCCGAGUGUAGAGGUGAAAUUCGUAGAUAUUCGGAAGAACACCAGUGGCGAAGGCGACUCACUGGACACAUAUUGACGCUGAGGUGGCGAAAAGCGUGGGGAGCAAACAGG